rnacentral:tRNA from 1 species
GAUGAGGUAGCCGCGUGGUUAAAGCGAUGGACCUUGCUAAUCCAUUGUGCUCUGGGUUAGAAUCCCAACUUCAUUG